rnacentral:rRNA from 1 species
AGUGAACGCUGGCGGUAGGCCUAACACAUGCAAGUCGAACGGCAGCACAGUAAGAGCUUGCUCUUACGGGUGGCGAGUGGCGGACGGGUGAGGAAUACAUCGGAAUCUACUUUUUCGUGGGGGAUAACGUAGGGAAACUUACGCUAAUACCGCAUACGACCUACGGGUGAAAGCAGGGGAUCUUCGGACCUUGCGCGAUUGAAUGAGCCGAUGUCGGAUUAGCUAGUUGGCGGGGUAAAGGCCCACCAAGGCGACGAUCCGUAGCUGGUCUGAGAGGAUGAUCAGCCACACUGGAACUGAGACACUGUCCAGACUCCUACGGGAGGCAGCAGUGGGGAAUAUUGGACAAUGGGCGCAAGCCUGAUCCAGCCAUACCGCGUGAGUGAAGAAGGCCUUCGGGUUGUAAAGCCCUUUUGUUGGGAAAGAAAAGCAGCAGGUUAAUACCCCGCUGUUCUGACGGUACCCAAAGAAUAAGCACCGGCUAACUUCGUG